CCUACGGGUGGCAGCAGUGGGGAAUAUUGGGCAAUGGAGGCAACUCUGACCCAGCAACGCCGCGUGAAUGAUGAAGGUCUUCGGAUUGUAAAGUUCUGUGGUGGGGGAUGAACACAAUGACGGUACCCCAAUAGCAAGCCACCGCUAACUACGUGCCAGCAGCCGCGGUAAUACGUAGGUGGCAAGGUUAAUCCGGAAUGACUGGGCGUAAGGGGUGCGUAGGUGGUGUAGUAAGUUGGCGGUGUAAUUCCUGGGCUCACGGUGGGCGCUACCGCCAAAACUAUUAGACUAGAGUGCAGGUGGGGUAAGUGGAAUUCCUAGUGUAGCGGUGGAAUGCGUAGAUAUUAGGCGGAACAUCAGGGGCGAAGGCGACUUAC
rnacentral:rRNA from 1 species